rnacentral:tRNA from 1 species
AUUUGAAUAAUUUAAUAAAAAUAUUGAUUUGUGGAAUCAAAAAUAAGAUAAUAAUUUUUUUUCAAAUCAUUUUAA